rnacentral:rRNA from 1 species
UACGUAGGGUGCAAGCGUUGUCCGGAAUUAUUGGGCGUAAAGAGCUCGUAGGCGGUUUGUCGCGUCUGCUGUGAAAACUCAGGGCUUAACCCUGAGCCUGCAGUGGGUACGGGCAGACUAGAGUGCGGUAGGGGGAGAUUGGAAUUCCUGGUGUAGCGGUGGAAUGCGUAGAUAUCAGGAGGAACACCUGCGGUGUAGACGGCUUACUGGACCGUAACUGACGCUGAGGCACGAAAGCGUGGGUAGCAAACAGG